rnacentral:rRNA from 1 species
AGCGAACGCUGGCGGCGUACUUAACACAUGCAAGUCGAACGAGGAUCAUCGGUGUAGCAAUACAUCGGCGGUCCUAGUGGCGUACGGGUGAGUAACACGUGGGCAACCUGCCCUCGAGCUCGGGAUAACCUUUCGAAAGGAAGGCUAAUACCGGAUACGUUCCUCGGGUCGCGAGACCUGGGGAGGAAAGGUGGCGCAAGCUACCGCUCUUGGAGGGGCUCGCGGCCUAUCAGCUAGUUGGUGAGGUAACGGCUCACCAAGGCUAUGACGGGUAGCUGGUCUGAGAGGACGACCAGCCACACGGGAACUGAGACACGGUCCCGACUCCUACGGGAGGCAGCAGUGGGGAAUUUUCCGCAAUGGGCGCAAGCCUGACGGAGUGACGCCGCGUGGGGGACGAAGGCCUC